rnacentral:rRNA from 1 species
GACGAACCGUGCGACCGUUAUUCGGAAUCACUGGGCUUAAAGCGCGUGUAGGCGGGCCGGCACGUCGGUACCUGAAAGCCCCCGGCUCAACCGGGGAACUGGGGCCGAUACGACCGGCCUGGAGGGGCGUAGGGGGACCUGGAACUUCCGGUGGAGCGGUGAAAUGCGUUGAGAUCGGAAGGAACGCCCGUGGCGAAAGCGAGGUCCUGGACGCCUGCUGACGCUGAGACGCGAAAGCCAGGGUAGCGAACGGG